rnacentral:rRNA from 1 species
GAUGAACGCUAGCUACAGGCUUAACACAUGCAAGUCGAGGGGAAACGGCAUCGAAAGCUUGCUUUUGAUGGGCGUCGACCGGCGCACGGGUGAGUAACGCGUAUCCAACCUGCCCAUCACUUGGGAAUAACCUUGCGAAAGUAAGACUAAUGCCCAAUGACAUCCCACGAAGGCAUCCGAAUGGGAUUAAAGAUUUAUCGGUGAUGGAUGGGGAUGCGUCUGAUUAGCUUGUUGGCGGGGUGACGGCCCACCAAGGCAACGAUCAGUAGGGGUUCUGAGAGGAAGGUCCCCCACAUUGGAACUGAGACACGGUCCAAACUCCUACGGGAGGCAGCAGUGGGGAAUAUUGGUCAAUGGGCGAGAGCCUGAACCAGCCAAGUAGCGUGCAGGAUGACGGCCCUAUGGGUUGUAAACUGCUUUUAUAAGGGAAUAAAGUGGGUCACGUGUGACUUUUUGCAUGUACCUUAUGAAUAAGGACCGGCUAAUUCCGUG